CCUACGGGAGGCAGCAGUGGGGAAUUUUCCGCAAUGGGCGAAAGCCUGACGGAGCAACGCCGCGUGAGGGAUGAAGGCCUUUGGGCUGUAAACCUCUUUUAUCAAGGAAGAAGAUCUGACGGUACUUGAUGAAUAAGCCACGGCUAAUUCCGUGCCAGCAGCCGCGGUAAUACGGGAGUGGCAAGCGUUAUCCGGAAUUAUUGGGCGUAAAGCGUCCGCAGGCGGUCUUGUAAGUCUGUCGUUAAAGCGUGGAGCUCAACUCCAUUUCGGCGGUGGAAACUACAAGACUAGAGUGUGGUAGGGGCAGAGGGAAUUCCCGGUGUAGCGGUGAAAUGCGUAGAUAUCGGGAAGAACACCAGUGGCGAAGGCGCUCUGCUGGGCCAUAACUGACGCUCAUGGACGAAAGCUAGGGGAGCGAAAGGGAUUAGAUACCCCUGUAGUCCUAGCCGUAAACGAUGAACACUAGGUNUCGGGGGAAUCGACCCCCUCGGUGUCGUAGCUAACGCGUUAAGUGUUCCGCCUGGGGAGUACGCACGCAAGUGUGAACUUAAGGAAUUGACGG
rnacentral:rRNA from 1 species